UACGUAGGUGGCAAGCGUUGUCCGGAUUUACUGGGCGUAAAGGGCGCGUAGGCGGCCUUCUAAGUCGAACGUGAAAUCCCCGGGCUCAACCCGGGAACUGCGUCCGAUACUGGGAGGCUUGAAUCCGGGAGAGGGAUGUGGAAUUCCAGGUGUAGCGGUGAAAUGCGUAGAUAUCUGGAGGAACACCGGUGGCGAAGGCGGCAUCCUGGACCGGUAUUGACGCUGAGGCGCGAAAGCUAGGGGAGCAAACGGG
rnacentral:rRNA from 1 species